rnacentral:misc_RNA from 1 species
UUUCCGUAGGUGAACCUGCGGAAGGAUCAUUACUGAGUGAGGGCCCUCUGGGUCCAACCUCCCACCCGUGUUUAUUGUACCUUGUUGCUUCGGUGCGCCCGCCUCACGGCCGCCGGGGGGCUUCUGCCCCCGGGUCCGCGCGCCCCGGAGACACCAUUGAACUCUGUCUGAAGAUUGCAGUCUGAGCAUAAACUAAAUAAGUUAAAACUUUCAACAACGGAUCUCUUGGUUCCG